UUUUACAAACCCCACCAUCAUAUGUCUCCAACCUCCAACAUAAUUCACCAACAAAAACAAAAACAAAAACCAAACCAACUCCCCCAAAAAACAAAAGUCUACUCUUUUCAUCUUAUCCCCCACCCUCUUUCCUCCUUUUGUGUUUCUUCUAUUUCCCUUCUCUCUGUUUUUCCUUCCCAAAACUCAAAAGUGAGAAGAGAAAGAACAUAUGUGGCAAGCUCAGGCCUGCAAGUCUUCUUAUGGAGAAUCCAUCAAAGCUCUUGAAGCUGAUAUCCAACAUGCCAAUACCUUAUGGGAUUUUUGCAGGGCAGCUGCUCUUCCUGGAGAUUAUGAUGGGAACUGUAUCCAAAUGAGAUUGUCUUAUAGCCCCUUUGCACCUUUCUUCCUGUAUCUCAUUGAAUGGAUGGAUUGUUGUUGCACUGAUAUACUUCCCAAUUAUUUAGGCCUUCACCACGUCCUUGUAUACAAGGAUGGAAUGCCUUCGUUGUCCUCCAAAGAACAGGUCGCCACUUUAAGGGAAUUUUAUGCUGUAAUAUACCCUUAUCUUAGACAACUCGAAGGUGAAUUUAACGAACUGGAAGAUAAUAAUAAUAAGAGAAGCCGAUGCACAGAUGUUUUGGGCAGAAAGAGGAUGGAAGACCGGAGGAAGCAUUCGGAUAAAGAUCUAGAGAGAGAUGAUGAAUGUGGGAUAUGCAUGGAAAACUGUACAAAAAUGGUGUUGCCCAACUGUGGACAUUCCAUGUGCAUCACCUGCUUCCACGAUUGGAAUGCAAGAUCGAAAUCCUGCCCUUUUUGCCGCGGCAGCCUAAAGAGAGUUAGCUCCAGAGAUUUGUGGGUUCUCACUAGCAUCGGCGAUGUUAUUGAUGCAGUAACCCUUGCGAAGGAGAACCUAAGACGUUUCUAUCUUUAUAUUGAAAAUCUACCUGUUGUUGUGCCGGCAACACCUAUUGUGGUAUAUGAUUACAUGCUCUGACUCACAAAGGAAGAAUGAAGUUGCAAGUACACAGAUUACUCGUUACCUCAAUGUAUAUAUAGUUUAAUAUAGGGAAGUUCUAUGUAAACUGCCAUGGCGAGUUGACGAGCUGUCUCAUGGUAGCUGUAUAUAGUCAACUAAAAUACCGAAUGCCUGUUUUCAGACGAUAAGCAGGUAGCUUUGGAGAAUCUUGAGUUGCAUCUGGCAGCAUCCUGCCCGUCUCCAAUGACCAAAGCACCUGCAAGUCUCUGGCGGAAGCACCAGAUAUUCAAAGAUUAAUAUGUAUAAGAGGAUUUUUUUUUUUAAAAAGCAACGAUCCUGAGCUUGAUUGUGCUCCAAUCCAGCUCCAGAAGCCGCCACCAGCAGAUUUUCCCCGCUGAGCAUCGGUAAGUGUAGGACUGAAGAUUGCCUAUACCGUGAAGAUAGCCGAAUGCUCGAAGAGGGGAUACCCUUGUGCCAGAACAAACGCAUAUCAUACCCUCAACAGGAAGCAAACUACUAUGCCUUCAUUUUAAAUCAUGCUGUUUAACUUCACUGGAUGGCUUGAAUUACCUUGAACUGCAUCCUUAAGAGACCUGGUUGAGUAACUUCUGGCACAGCUAAACCAAGUUUGUUUUAUGUAGUUGUUGGCAUGCAAUAUUCCUAUCACAGUGAUCUGCCCAACAAAAUUAAAAAGGAAAACUCAUGGUGAAAAAAAAUCAGUAUAGUAAAAUUGUGCUAAGGCCACAAAGUUUUAAUCAUCGUAAAUACACGAGUAG